rnacentral:rRNA from 1 species
CUACUCGACUCCUACGGGAGGCAGCAGUGGGGGAAUAUUGCACAAUGGGCGAAAGCCUGAUGCAGCCAUGCCGCGUGUGUGAAGAAGGCCUUCGGGUUGUAAAGCACUUUCAGCGAGGAGGAAAGGUUGACGGUUAAUACCCGUCAGCUGUGACGUUACUCGCAGAAGAAGCACCGGCUAACUCCGUGCCAGCAGCCGCGGUAAUACGGAGGGUGCGAGCGUUAAUCGGAAUUACUGGGCGUAAAGCGCAUGCAGGCGGCCAAGUCAGUCAGAUGUGAAAGCCCCCGGGCUUAACCUGGGAAUUGCAUUUGAAACUGCUUGGCUAGAGUCCUUGAGAGGGGGUAGAAUUUCAGGUGUAGCGGUGAAAUGCGUAGAGAUCUGAAGGAAUACCAGUGGCGAAGGCGGCCCCCUGGCAAGAGACUGACGCUCAGAUGCGAAAGCGUGGGGAGCAAACAGGAUUAGAUACCCUGGUAG